UCGCUUCACUCUCUGAAAGUCUGAAGCUUUCCACUUUUCUCCAAUGGCAGACGAAGCCAACAGAACCGCAAGUCCUUUCUAUUCUCACUCCCCUCUCUUUCCACCUGUCAAAUUUUCAGUCUUUUGGCAUCCUUGUUUCUUCUGUACAUGACAAGAGAGACUGAUAAAAAACUCAUUUGAAGAUCGAAGUUGUCAACUUUUUUAAGCAUACAAUUUGAUUUGAUUGUUAUUUGGACAAAAAGAACAGGCUUUUAUAGAGCUACAAGACCGCAUGAUUGAGACCACUUCCAAAUUCAAGCAGGUCCAGAACCAGAUACGAACCAAGGAGGGAGAAAAGAAGCGUGCUUUCCUAACCUUAGAGGAGCUGCGGCAAGUUCUUGAUGAUACAAAUACAUACAAAUCUAUAGGCAUGCGUAGGCACUUGCUGUCCCACAGGAAUGCAUUAGCACAUUAUGGCUGAGGGAGAACGUGAGUGGUGCAAAGGUCAAAUGAUUUAGACUGAAUCGUGUUUUCCGGGCUGUCUGAAUUGAUGGCAGGUUGUUAUGAACUCAUGCUUUCUAUGUCACAUGGUGGUCAGGUUUGCCUUGGAGCCAAAGUCAGUUUUAAUGAGUGAACAAGAGCAGAAACUCAAAGAUAGGGAGACCGCAAUAUCCUCACUACAGAGGCAAAUCCCUCUCCCACCUCCUCCCCUCUCUCUCUCACGCACAGACACACUCACAUUGCGAUAAAACCAUCCAUUUAUUUCUAUAAAUGCAUGUCCAAACCAGCUCUAUUUCCAUGUUGCCUGGGACUUGUUUCUUCUUUUCAUCUGUUGUAUCUUCCCAAUCUAUUUCAGAGUUAUUGUUUGUUAAAAUCAUGAUGUAUUUCACUUUCUUAUUGGCUUAUCUUAUAUUUGAUAUCAGAUGUACUGAGUUUAGUAGUCCAUGAGUUUAAUGCUUGGUCUACCUUGUAUUCUCUUAUAUUCAAUAUCAGCUGUUCUAUUUUUCC